rnacentral:other from 1 species
UAGGCUUGAGUGUGCUAGGCUGUUUUUCUAGACCAGCCAAGCUGUGGAAUGCAACAUCAAAUUCCUGGGAAGAGAGAGCAUGGGGUGUGCUGAUUUAAAAACAGAAGAUGCAAAGUUGAACCGAAAAUAUCCUUAAUUAAUUUAUCCAAACUUACUUUAAUUUGGUGAGAAAAGAAGCUGCUCUCUUUUAUCCCCCUUUCUUCUUCUUCUACAACUGGAACCAGCCAUUUCUAAAAUCCAUCACCAUG